GGCUCCGUGAGUAGGUUAGCCAUGCGUGUCACGGCGAAAUCCAGUGAAUGACAAUGAACUAAGCAAAUGUGUGUGUAUGUAAGGGAGGAGGUGGCAUGCUUGCUGUAUCACUCCCUCUAUCCCUCCAUCCGUCUAUUCCUCUUCCACCUCUUCCUCGAUGGUGGUGUGUCGGCUAGAAGGACGGCCCCCAUGCUCUGACACACUCACAUACGCGCAGACACACACCUCCGCGAUGUGUCACUACCCAUUCCACCUGCCUCUUCCUGUCAUUCCCCACUCUGUGUUCCAUCCUACACUUGCUCUUUUUCCCUCCUUUUUUGUUCUCUCUCAGUCUUUCUGUCCACCCCUCCUUGUCCUCAACCCCCCCUACGCUGUGUGUCACUUCUGCUGGGAAGAAAGAAAAAAUGCUCCAGCCGAUGAAAGGGAGAAGACAAAAAGAAAAAGGAGAAAAGAGUCAAAAAGGAGAAGACCGCAAAAGCUGGAGUGUGUUUGGAGCGCAGCGAUGCCUCCAUCCACCAUGAGCCCGACUCUUCUUUGAUGGAAUAUCCCGGACAGCGGAGGGCAGAAGGAGGGAGAAGAAGGUGAAGAAAAAGUACUGAAGAGGACUGAAAGAAGAAUAACAGGACUGAGAAAGAAGAAAGGAAGGAAGGAAGGACAGCACUCGCCUCAGUAGGCUCCAUCCAUCCAGUCCAGUCUCAUUGUCCUCAUACACACCUCGCCUCUGAGCGUGAGCGUGCAUGCACAUGUGUGCAUGUGUCUGUGUGAGGACCAGGGUGCAGCCGCUCAUUUCCACACCACAGCCUAGCGGAGCGCCGGAUUCCACUCUGAGGUGUACGUGGCUGCGCUGCGUCAGAUAGGCCAUGCCCUUCACCUGUGCCUGCUUCUGUGGUCUGAACGGCUUCUGCCGUAGACGGAAGAAGAAGAAAAAGGAACAAGUGGAGGAGGAGGACGAGGAUCAGGAAGUAGGACGAUGGAGGGAUCAGGAGACAGAGGUGUGACCGCGGCGCAGUCAGCUGCACUCUCCCUCCCUUUACGAGGGUUUUAUCCUUUAACAAACUGGAGUGUACGGCUGCUCAGUACAGACUGUCUGAUGUUAUGCAUGGGGAUACUCUAACAGUGAUGUGGGGAAGGGGCUUCAGCAGGCACAGGCUUUUAUUGAAAUUACAUUUUGAACCAGAUACUGCAUCUCUUUCCAAAGUGUCUGAGGCUUCAGGUUCUACAUAUUUUCUACUUUUUAAGCUGCAUAAACUCAACAACUGCAAUGCUGCCUUGAGCCAUAUUCCUCAAAAUGAAUCAGAUUAAUGAAAAUAAAAGCCUGUGAACCCUGCGCUCAUCCCCAUUAACCAUCCUUGCUGCAUUUCCAUUUUCCCUUGGCAGCUGACAGAGAACUUUGCUUCUGCUGAUGUGAUUCCAAAAAGCAUUUUUAUCAGUGUGAUUUAUUUCUUGCCAUAGCUGGUGUACUGUAUAAGUUGUAAAGAGACGGCGGGCCCUUGAAAUCCAUUAUUUCUCUCAGUCACACUUCUCAGCAUCUCUCCCUUCUCCUCCUUAAUCGUAGCUCCACGGAGGCUGAAUGGACGGCGCUCUGCACCUCCUCGCCUACCUGCUUAUGUCAGAUCAACUUAGUGCAAACUUCAGCCAAGUGAGAAAGUGUACAGUAAUUUCCAAAGUCACCCAUGGAGGGCUGGAGCCUAUCUCGGUUUUCACGCUGAGCUGGGCCCAAUCUAAAGCAGAGCAGCUGUCCAAUCAGCAGCUUAGCUGAAGUGUGAAGAUAGGAGUCAAGGGCCAGAAUGAGCAACAGGUUUUGUGAGAAGUCCCUCCUCUGAUGCCGUAGCAUCUCUGUCUCAUUAAUCGCCAGACAAGUAAUUACAAACACGCACACACUGAUGCAGACCCAUCCAUUAAUGUCCCCCGUGGGGAGUGGAGUGUCUGUCCGUAAAUGCCACUGCGGUGCGCUUCCAGCUGUCACCUGUGUGAGUGUAUGACUCUGAGAGUGUGUGUCUGUGUGCUUUUGUUUCUUCUUGGCUGCAACAAUAGACUUUCAAACCUUAAACAAGUGGUUAAGAGAUCCAUUCAGCUGCUAUAAAACUGCCUUUUCAGAAUGCACAUCGAGACACAAAGACCCCAACACACACACACACUCACGCACACACAUAGUUCUCAUUAGCGUAUGUGAUUAUGCAUUGCACGUCCAGUCAGGCAGUGGAGAUGUAAUUAACCUUUUUCCAGCAGGAAACAGAUGCCUGGAUGUCACACACAAACACACAGUGACAUACACACACACACACACACACGUCUGCUGUCAGGGAAACAAAGCCAACGUCAUGGUGUCACGGAAACAAAGCCCCAAAAGCGCCGCCUGGCACUCUGUGAUAAUCCCCUCACGCAUAUUUACAUUCAGGGCUUAGAAUACGCCUCGGUGCCGCCGUCUCCACCCCCGGCCUCCACCCAUCCGUCCUCUCACUCCUCUGCUUCUACCUUUUGGACUUCCACCACAUUCCCCUUUUCCUUUCGCUAUCUCUUCCUCUCCUCCUUCUUUUCCCUCUCUCCCAAAACUCUCUCCUUCGUGGGUUUCAUCAGUUUAUCAUCAGUGGACAGUACAUGGCCUUGCAUGGCAUCUCCCACAGAUUAGCCCCCAUUCUGCCUUUCUCUGAUUCUUAGUAUCAGGGAUUUCUUCAGGCGGGCAAAAAGCUGCUUUACGACAGAUUAAUGGACGGCUCUGAUUGUGUCUGUUGGUGUGUGUCUGUGCCUGCGUGAAAUAGAUUGUCUGUUUACCCAUACUCCCGCUUACAAGCGGCGAAAUGAGACAAAGCUAAAGCCAUUUCACAGUGUAGAGCACCUAUUAUGAUUCACUGUGUUACGACGCAGGCCUAAUGAGAAAUAGAGAGAGGGAAUGAGAAGAGGGGUUGGAGGAGGAUCGGGGAGGAGGAGAGAAAAAGACGGUAAUGAGAGCAAGAGUUGGAUAUGGAAGAUGGGGGCUAAUGCUAGACAGAGCAUUCAUGCUAAUUGGCUACAGUGGAUAACUUUCUGAGGUGGGGGAUGAGUGUGUGUGGUGGUAGGGGAGGGGGGGGGGUAGAAAAGAAAAAAGAACAGCCUGAUCUGUCGGAGUUACACUCAUUUAGCGCUCCCUCCAUUUCACCUCUUUAAUGAGAGGAAUAUUCGUUCCAGUAGACUUGAAAUUGUUAACGAUUUGUUGCUCACACACACACACACACACACAUACACACACACACACACACACACACACACACACACACACACACACUCUUGGAGGUGGUGGUGAUGGUGUUGUGGGGGGGGGGGGGGGGGGGUUUGGAAGGAGGAUGGUGUUGUCGAGGGAAGGUGUGCGUUUUCCCUCAAGCGCCACAAACCCAGUCCUUUAUGGAUCAUGGCAAUUUUCAGGGAUUGUGACUCAAGGACAAACAGCUAAAAAUAGAGGGGUGGUGCACGACUCCUGCGACAGCGGGGAGGGGAGGCAGCAGGAGGUGGGGGCGGCGAAAACGAGUCCUGUCGCAUUAGAUUUGGGUCAGAAACGAGGGAAGAGCAGACGAAGCGGAGAGUGUUACAGACGGCGGCGAGAUUCAUCAGUCGCUGCUCCCUGUACCUCACUCUACCCCCCCCACACACACACACACACACACACACACACACACACACACACACACACACACACACACACACCUCCUCUCUAACAAAGAUGGUAAACCGCUGGAAAGACAAAGAAGAAGUAGCAGGGAAGAAAAGGAGGGAGAAGUGACUCUAGGUUAGAUAAUAUUAUAAUAUUAAUAGAUGCCGUUCUAUCCGAGGCUCUUUACUGUAUAAUCAAUGCAUGCAUAAAUUCACACUAUGAAAGAUCCCAGUAGGGAACAUAUUGUCUCUUCCCAGUUUAAAGGAACUUUGACAUUUUCAGAAACACGCUUAUUUACUUUCCUAUUGUACUUUCAUGUCUGUAUGUUUAGCAUGAAACUGCAGGGAAGUGGGAAUCAAUUAGCUUAGCAUAAUGACUGGACGCAAAGAAAGCGAAUAAGCGUAUUUUCAAUAAUUACAAAAUAACUAUUCCUUAAAUCCAGUGGGUAGUGUGUUGGUUAACUCUCUGUAUUACAUAAGGAAUUGGACCUGGUAACCCUGUCUAUUAUGGUGCCAUGCUUAAGGAAAUGAAAUCCUCACCACCAACUCAUGCAGAAUAAGUUGCUUUCAGACAUCAAAUGCUGCCGCAGCCACUCAGUGACAUUGCCUACGUUUUCAAUAUACGGUGCAGGGCAAUUAGAUUCAUGACAAUAUUAGUACCUUUCUUUAGGGAAUGGUACCCUCAACCCUGGCAGUGUUGCUGCAGUACUAAACAGCUCUUUGUCCCUCCUGUUGUCCCUUGAUUACUUUCUCCUUCUGGCACGCACAUCUGUUCUGUUUUCCUAAUGAAGAAGAAAGUGAUGGUCCCACCAAGGCUAAUUAGGAGGUAGACUGGUGAUAGAGUCAGGAGGGAAACGCCGACCACUUAGAGCUCCCACCAGUCCCGGAGGAUCACACGAGGGUUUGGGGAAAAGGGAUGCCGAGAGAGGAGAUAAAAAAACGAGCAGAAGAGGAGGAGAAGAGAGACACGUAGCGUAAUUGAGACUGUAAUGGGUUUUGUCAGAAGCACCUGUCAGGGUCAAGUUAAAACGAUUUUGGAGAGGGAGGAAGAGAAGGAUGAGAGGAUGGAAAGGGGAGAAGGAGCCAAUUGGAGUCAGGAUCCCGGUGAGGAGAGGCCCUCGUCCAUGCCAACCUCACCUGAUUGCCAAUUUGUGCCAGUCUACACACAUCAAACGCCAAUACGGGCCAUGCACAGACACACAAUGAUUUGGGGAGUGCUAACCAGCAAAAAGCACCCAUACACAUUCACUCACACACAUGUGCGAACUCACGCUGACAACCCGCCUACGCUGGCUGAUUGGACACAUCUAGCCACUUAACAAGGUAUCCACGGUGCAGACCUAAGCCGUGUGAUUGGAAGAUAAAACUGCCACCGUUAAAUCUCUAAUUCUCCUCCACGUCUAGAUGAAAAUAAGAUGCAGCGUUGAUUAGAUCGCAGCCUCGGAUCUGUGCCACGUUUAUUAAAGCCCCCACCCCCUAACCCCAACCAAUCCUAUCUUGGGUCUCCUGCCAACCCCAAAUACUCUAUUUGUGAUGGAAAAGCAAUUCUGACACCCUCGAGAGUUGAGGGUGAUGCCUAAAGAGUGAUGAAAUUAAGUUGAGUAAAAUGUAUUUAUAAAUCGCUGUUAAAGCUGCACCUGGAAAUCAACGUGUUUACAGCCCCGAACGGCAGCAUAAGUGACUGAAAUGUCCCACUGUUGGUCAGGAGAGAGUGGAGCUGAUGGACAGGCUUAGCCAUCUUCCUGGGAACAAAGUUCUCACUUGGUGCUGUUUUACUUCUUUUUCAAUUUCAUAGAAAAUAUUAGCUGCAAUCAAACAUUUUUGACACCAGAAUUUCAUUUAGGCAAACUGUAAAAACCUUUUUCACCUUUACUCAUAGGAAAGAUGUUUUUUUAGGUUUUAGGUACACAUCAACAAACACUCUUCUUACAAAUCAAAAGCAAUACUUUAGAUUGAAAAAUCUUCUAGAUCAGGGGUCUUCAAUGGUUUUUAAGCCAAGGACCCCUUAACUGAGAAAGAAACGGAUCAGGGACCCCCUACUACAUAUAUUGUAUAAAAUGAAGUUGCAUAUUAAACUGGGCCUAUAAUAACAUGUAGGGCGGCUUUAAGCCUUUAUACCUUUUUUUGCGUAGAAUACUAAGCUAU